UUGGCGGACGGGUGAGUAACGCGUGGAAAACCUGCCGUAUACUGGGGGAUAACACUUAGAAAUAGGUGCUAAUACCGCAUAAGCGCACAGCUUCGCAUGAAGCGGUGUGAAAAACUCUGGUGGUAUACGAUGGUUCCGCGUCUGAUUAGCUAGUUGGUGGGGUAAUGGCCUACCAAGGCAACGAUCAGUAGCCGGCCUGAGAGGGUGAACGGCCACCAUUGGGACUGAGACACGGCCCAAACUCCUACGGGAGGCAGCAG
rnacentral:rRNA from 1 species